GACGAACGCUGGCGGCGUGCUUAACACAUGCAAGUCGAACGGGAGUAUUGAAGAAGCUUGCUUUAGAGAUACUUUAGUGGCGGACGGGUGAGUAACGCGUGAGGAGCUGUCCAAUGCAGGGGGACAACAGUUGGAAACGACUGCUAAUACCCCAUAAGCCGAGAGGUAAAAGGAUUUAUCCGGCAAUGGAGGUACUCGCGUCCUAUCAGCUAGUAGGUGAGGUAACGGCUCACCUAGGCGAAGACGGGUAGCCGGCCUGAGAGGGCGAACGGCCACACUGGAACUGAGAUACGGUCCAGACUCCUACGGGAGGCAGCAGUGGGGAAUAUUGGGCAAUGGGGGGAACCCUGACCCAGCGACGCCGCGUGGGUGAAGAAAUCCUUCGGGAUGUAAAGCACUUUUUGGAGGGAUGAGGAAGGACAGUACCUCCAGAAUAAGCCUCGGCUAACUACGUGCCAGCAGCCGCGGAAAACGUCUACUG
rnacentral:rRNA from 1 species